AUCAUCCAUCAAUUGAAACGUUGAAAAGUGGAAGGGACGGAUCAAAUUGAGAAAAAAAAAGAAACGUCAAUCAUCAUUUCAGACUGACCCUCUUCUAUCCCGCCCAUCCUCUUCUGUUCCUUCUUUUCUUUCAUUUUUCCUCC
ensembl:ncRNA C10F3.13 ncRNA